rnacentral:rRNA from 1 species
UACAGAGGUCCCAAGCGUUGUUCGGAUUCAUUGGGCGUAAAUGGUGCGUAGGUGGCGCCGUAAGUCGGGUGUGAAAUUUCGGAGCUUAACUCCGAAACUGCAUUCGAUACUGCGGUGCUUGAGGACUGGAGAGGAGACUGGAAUUCAUGGUGUAGCAGUGAAAUGCGUAGAGAUCAUGAGGAAGACCAGUGGCGAAGGCGGGUCUCUGGACAGUUCCUGACACUGAGGCACGAAGGCCAGGGGAGCAAACGGG